rnacentral:rRNA from 1 species
CUUGUACACACCGCCCGUCACACCAUGGGAGCGGGUUCUGCCAGAAGUAGUUAGCCUAACCGCAAGGAGGGCGAUUACCACGGCAGGGGUUCGUGACUGGGGUGAAGUCGUAAACAAGGUACC